UACGUAGGGCGCAAGCGUUGUCCGGAAUUAUUGGGCGUAAAGAGCGCGUAGGCGGUCCGGUAAGUCCGCUCUGAAAGUCCGGGGCUCAACCCCGGGAGGCGGGCGGAUACUGUCGGGCUAGAGUCCGGAAGAGGCGAGUGGAAUUCCUGGUGUAGCGGUGAAAUGCGCAGAUAUCAGGAGGAACACCGACGGCGCAGGCAGCGUCCUGGCCGCUUGCUGACACUGAGGCACGAAAGCUGGGGGAGCAAACAGG
rnacentral:rRNA from 1 species